rnacentral:rRNA from 1 species
AGAGUUUGAUCCUGGCUCAGGACGAACGCUGGCGGCGUGCCUAAUACAUGCAAGUAGAACGCUGAAGAGAGGAGCUUGCUCUUCUUGGAUGAGUUGCGAACGGGUGAGUAACGCGUAGGUAACCUGCCUUGUAGCGGGGGAUAACUAUUGGAAACGAUAGCUAAUACCGCAUAACAAUGGAUGACACAUGUCAUUUAUUUGAAAGGGGCAAUUGCUCCACUACAAGAUGGACCUGCGUUGUAUUAGCUAGUAGGUGAGGUAACGGCUCACCUAGGCGACGAUACAUAGCCGACCUGAGAGGGUGAUCGGCCACACUGGGACUGAGACACGGCCCAGACUCCUACGGGAGGCAGCAGUAGGGAAUCUUCGGCAAUGGGGGCAACCCUGACCGAGCAACGCCGCGUGAGUGAAGAAGGUUUUCGGAUCGUAAAGCUCUGUUGUAAGUCAAGAACGAGUGUGAGAGUGGAAAGUUCACACUGUGACGGUAGCUUACCAGAAAGGGACGGCUAACUACGUGCCAGCAGCCGCGGUAAUACGUAGGUCCCGAGCGUUGUCCGGAUUUAUUGGGCGUAAAGCGAGCGCAGGCGGUUUGAUAAGUCUGAAGUUAAAGGCUGUGGCUCAACCAUAGUUCGCUUUGGAAACUGUCAAACUUGAGUGCAGAAGGGGAGAGUGGAAUUCCAUGUGUAGCGGUGAAAUGCGUAGAUAUAUGGAGGAACACCGGUGGCGAAAGCGGCUCUCUGGUCUGUAACUGACGCUGAGGCUCGAAAGCGUGGGGAGCGAACAGGAUUAGAUACCCUGGUAGUCCACGCCGUAAACGGUGGAUGCUGGAUGUGGGGCCCGUUCCACGGGUUCCGUGUCGGAGCUAACGCGUUAAGCAUCCCGCCUGGGGAGUACGGCCGCAAGGCUAAAACUCAAAGAAAUUGACGGGGGCCCGCACAAGCGGCGGAGCAUGCGGAUUAAUUCGAUGCAACGCGAAGAACCUUACCUGGGCUUGACAUGUUCCCGACAGCCGUAGAGAUAUGGCCUCCCUUCGGGGCGGGUUCACAGGUGGUGCAUGGUCGUCGUCAGCUCGUGUCGUGAGAUGUUGGGUUAAGUCCCGCAACGAGCGCAACCCUCGCCCUGUGUUGCCAGCACGUCAUGGUGGGAACUCACGGGGGACCGCCGGGGUCAACUCGGAGGAAGGUGGGGAUGACGUCAGAUCAUCAUGCCCCUUACGUCCAGGGCUUCACGCAUGCUACAAUGGCCGGUACAACGGGAUGCGACACGGCGACGUGGAGCGGAUCCCUGAAAACCGGUCUCAGUUCGGAUUGGAGUCUGCAACCCGACUCCAUGAAGGCGGAGUCGCUAGUAAUCGCGGAUCAGCAACGCCGCGGUGAAUGCGUUCCCGGGCCUUGUACACACCGCCCGUCAAGUCAUGAAAGUGGGUAGCACCCGAAGCCGGUGGCCUAACCCUUUGUGGAUGGAGCCGUCUAAGGUGAGACUCGUGAUUGGGACUAAGUCGUAACAAGGUAGCCGUACCGGAAGGUGCGGCUG